rnacentral:rRNA from 1 species
UACAGGGGGUGCUAGCGUUGUUCGGAAUUACUGGGCGUAAAGGGCGCGUAGGUGGCUUGAUAAGUCAGGAGUGAAAUCCCGGAGCUUAACUCCGGAAUUGCUUUUGAAACUAUUAGGCUAGAGUAUGUUAGAGGAUGGCGGAAUUCCUAGUGUAGAAGUGAAAUUCGUAGAUAUUAGGAAGAACACCGGUGGCGAAGGCGGCCAUCUGGGACAUAACUGACACUGAGGCGCGAAAGCGUGGGGAUCAAACAGG